UAUAUCAAGCUCAUUCAGUCUAUCGCUGUCGAUAAUUACGUCAUCGAUGACGUUUACCUUUACGUCAUCAAUUAGUUCCACUUCCACUAAUAACGUUAGCCAAAAUACUUCUACAAGCAAAGAUAAUGGCAACAAUAAUUCUACAGUUAAAGAUGAUGAUGAUGAUGGACCAAAUAUUGCUCUGAUUGUUGGCAUUGCUGUUUGAGCGGUUUUCCUUGUCGCCAUUAUGGUUGUUGUCAUUUUCUGCUGUCGUA